rnacentral:lncRNA from 1 species
CGGAGAGAGUAUCCACAUUUAUUUCAGUCAACGAGUUAAGGAAUGCGUAAUUUCGCAGAAGAAAUUAUUUUAAGGGGUGGAGAAUGUAAUAUACCGAGAAUUCAGAAAAUAAAUAUCGAACUUCAGUCAAAUUGACCAAAGUGCGAGGUUGGUACCCUUCGGAAAGUACGAAGGUGUUAAAAUAAGUAAAAGUGCAUUGUGGGAGGUUUUCGAGAGCUAAAGAAUUAAAAAUCUGCAAACUAUAGUUUUUGAGCUCUCGGGGACCGGUCCUUGGUGGGAGAGACCGGUCCCCGAACGCGUAAGAAAUAAGAGAAGCUGAAAAUC